GAUGAACGCUAGCUACAGGCUUAACACAUGCAAGUCGAGGGGAAACGGCAUCGAAAGCUUGCUUUUGAUGGGCGUCGACCGGCGCACGGGUGAGUAACGCGUAUCCAACCUGCCCAUCACUUGGGAAUAACCUUGCGAAAGUAAGACUAAUGCCCAAUGAUAUCCCACGAAGGCAUCCGAAUGGGAUUAAAGAUUUAUCGGUGAUGGAUGGGGAUGCGUCUGAUUAGCUUGUUGGCGGGGUAACGGCCCACCAAGGCGACGAUCAGUAGGGGUUCUGAGAGGAAGGUCCCACACAUUGGAACUGAGACACGGUCCAAACUCCUACGGGAGGGAGCAGUGAGGAAUAUUGGUCAAUGGGCGAGGGCCUGAACCAGCCAAGUAGCGUGCAGAAUGACGGCCCUAUGGGUUGUAAACUGCUUUUAUAAGGGAAUAAAGUGAGUCUCGUGCGACUUUUUGCAUGUACCUUAUGAAUAAGGACCGGCUAAUUCCGUGCCAGCAGCCGCCGUAA
rnacentral:rRNA from 1 species